rnacentral:rRNA from 1 species
AACGAACGCUGGCGGCAUGCCUAACACAUGCAAGUCGAACGAGACCUUCGGGUCUGGUGGCGCACGGGUGCGUAACGCGUGGGAACAUGCCCUUAGGUUCGGAAUAAAUCCCCGAAAGGGGUGCUAAUACCGGCUAAUGUCUUCGAACCAAAGAUUUAUCGCCUUUGGAUGGGCCUGCGUUGGAUUAGCUUGUUGGUAGGGUAAAAGCCUACCAAGGCGACGAUCCAUAGCUGGUCUGUGAGGAUGAGCAGCCACACUGGGACGGAGACACGGCCGAGACUCCUACGGGAUGCAGCAGUGGGGAAUAUUGGACAGUGGGCGAAAGCCUGAUCCAGCAAUGCCGCGUGAGUGAUGAAGGCCGGAGGGUUGUAAAGCUCUUUUACCCGGGAUGAUAAUGACAGUACCGGGAGAAUAAGCUCCGGCUAACUCCGUG